UACGUAGGGUGCAAGCGUUGUCCGGAAUUAUUGGGCGUAAAGGGCGCGUAGGCGGCGAUCCAAGUUAGGCGUGAAAGCCCCGGGCUUAACCUGGGAAUUGCGCUUAAGACUGGACUGCUUGAGUGCGGGAGAGGUGAGUGGAAUUCCCAGUGUAGAGGUGAAAUUCGUAGAUAUUGGGAAGAACACCAGUGGCGAAGGCGGCUCACUGGCCCGCAACUGACGCUGAGGCGCGAAAGCGUGGGGAGCAAACAGGG
rnacentral:rRNA from 1 species